rnacentral:lncRNA from 1 species
AUUUUUUUGGUUUCUAGAUUUUUCUAUUUUCUCUCUCUCGCCUACGUGCGAUUCUUCUUCAUCUCCUUCUCUAUUUUUUUGGUUAAAAAUCUCAUAUUAAUCCUUAGUUUUAGUUUUAACCUUUGUAGAUGGCCUUGCUACAGUAAUUUGAGGCCUUGUUUUAGUCUCUUUGGUUUUUUCAAUUGUGAAAUGGAGUGUUUAAGGUUAAGUGGUUGAAGGAUUGGUUAUGGUUUUGGAGAUCCAUGUGAUUGAUGAACAAAACCUAUGUUUUUUGAGUGGUUGAUUUACACUAUACUCUCUUGGAAGGUUAUUUUUCACUAGAGGAACGGGUUCAAUUCCUGAGCCCCCUAGAUUAGACAAUUUUCGGCUGAACUGGGUCAACAAUCUUGUGUUUUUUACGUUUUAUAGUUUUUUUUUUUAUUUCUUGGGCAUUUUGGUGUUUAUUAAUAAGUGUUUUCAUCAAGAAAAACCCAACACUUUUCUUAUUCUACAAGUAGAAUAUUUGAUUGUCUCUGAUGAAUGAUUUGCUACCAUUCUCUAUGUUUAGGAGUGGUGUGUUUCACCUUUUACGGCUUUAUUGUGCCAUGGUACUCCAGUGUCCAACCUAUUAUUUCUAAAAAUAGUUAUGUUGGAUGAUGUUGUUCUCUUUGAUACCUUAUUCAUCUGUUUGUCCUUCAUAUUAAGGGAGUAUCUGUGGAGUGGGUUAUGAUCUUGCCAAUUAUUACAGAACUAAGGGGUUCCACCUCUGAGUAUUCUUUCAUUUGCAAAUACAUUGUUCUAAUGAAAAAUGAAGAUUGUUCUAAUGAAAAAUGAAGAUACAUGUCCAAUUACUGUCGACUUUGCUUCCUGAACAUAUCUUAUUUUUGACCGAUUUCCUCUUCCAUUCUCUUUGGAUCUUAGCUUACAAAUUUGGGAUAUUGAUUGUUUUCCGGUUGUUAUGACUAUAGUUUGGGAAGAAAAUUCAUCCUAAGUGUGUUGUUUCUCACCUGACGAAUAAUUUCUUGUUUCUUGCUUAGUCGAUGAAUUUAUUGAGGUUUGAUUAUUACAAAUUCCUUCAUUAGUACAAAUUGAGGUUUUUUAUUACAAAAUCCAUAAAUCGUUAGAAAUUUCUAGCUACUCCUUGGUUGCUCAUUUUAGAUCAUGCUAGGUAUGGGAUCACAUAAGUGGAAACCUUAAGAAGGAUCUUCAAUAUCAGGCUCAUGUAAGUUGUGUGUUCUUCUAAUUUUCAUUCUCUUUCCCCGUCUUAGUUAUUUUAAUUUGUUAAACCUAUUCUAUUGUGCUUGCAUGAUAUAACUCUGGAUCUGUGAGGCUUAAAUUACUUAAUAAUAUGGUGUUAUAAUGCAACAAAUUGGAUAAAAAAUAGUUUAUUAAGGAAGUGAUUUUCGAUGUUUUAUCAUCAUUGUAUCAAGAGAAUUGCCAUUCACAGUUAACUAAAUAUAAGUUGGCACUAAAUGGUUGACAUGUAGGGCUUGAAACAAACUGCAAUAUGUUGAAUUCUUAGUUCUAAUGGAUCUUUUUCUUACCUCUCCUUUUUCUUAUUUGUUCAUUACCCCUUUAGAGGGGCUAAGUUAUUUAUUUUUCUUUAAUCAUAUAAAUGGAUGAGAUAAUAGAUACACAUCUUCUUGUCUGUUGCAUUUGUUGUUUUCCAGAUUGGCAAAUUAAUUAUUACUAACAUGUCCACAUGGUUCAUGACUUACAGCAUUAACUAUUUUCAAUUUAAUUCUCAACUCAUAAAAUGUUAGUCUUUUUUGGUCGAUGGUCAUUGUAUUAUGAAUACUUAGUGUCAUUGUUUUGUUCUUCAUGAGUUUACAGUUAAAUGUAUUAUGUUUUUGUAAUGAUUGAAUCAUUUUAUGGUUAGGAAUAUUGGAUACAAUUUCGUGAAAUCACAAUUGUGACUUUCUUGUUUGUGAUGCAGGAAGUUCUGAAUCAACUGAGGUCGAGAUGUCAGAUUGCAUGUUGAGAUACCAUGAGAUGGCGGAUUGGCGCAAAGAUGGAAAGUGAUUGCAACACUUUCCUUAAUUGGGGCAAUUUCGAAACGUUUUUGGUAAUUUGGUCAUAACUUUGGCUACGGUUAUCAGAAUAGCUAUUAUAAUCCCAAUUCGAAAAGCUCUUUUCAGUACACACGUUGUUGUCAAGCCAUACUCAAUGGGCAUUAAUUUCGAGGCCAAAAUUUGUUGUUCUCCCGUUCAAAUUUCAAUUUUUAGUUAUUUUUUUCAUUUAUUAUAAUAUUUCGUUUGAUUUUUUCUAGUUGAUUUCAAAUCUGAUUUGAGCCAAAUUUUUGGCAAGUUCCUUCUUUUAUUCCAUAUUUUAUUUUGGUGUGGUUUUCGGGAUUUUGCCAUUUUUGGUAAAAUUUCCAUAAUUUCAUAUUUUUUAGCUAUUUAACCCGACUUGUGAUUAAUUUUCGUAUUCUGCAUUUUAAUAAAGUUAAGUUGAAUUUCAGAAAAUUCUCUCUAUUUCUUGGGCUUUUUCCAUCGUAUUCUUCCUGUGAAUUAUCUAUUGCAACUAGCCUGCAGGAUAAUCACUAUCUCACCCGACGUCAGUUUGUAACAUGGCAGGUAAACUUUUAUGAUGCACAAUGAUGUUGUCUUCUCAGUUGAUUUUAGUAGAGACUCUGAGAUGCUUGCAUCUGGAUCACAAGAUGGAAAAAUAAAGGUUAAGCUUGCUUUCAUUUUCUGCUUUAAUGUGAUUAUUCUCAUGUUGCUUUGUCUUCUAAUUUCCCUAACAUCUAAAAAGAGUUAAAAAAAAGAAGCAUCUAGACUUAUUCAACACAAAAUAACUUAAAGAAGUUAGAGAAUAUUACUUUAUGGUGAGAUAUUAUCCUCCAAAGAAUAUUUUUGGUAUAGCCGGGGAGUAUCAUGACAUCCAUUCUAAUUUGUUGCAAGGUUUUGAAGGACCCUCUAGUGGCUUGUAUUAUACAAUUUGAAAUUCACAAUUGUAAAUCUAUUUAGUAGAUGUUGUUCUCAUCUGUUUGGUUAUAGGUUUAGCGUAUUAGGACAGGUUAAUGCUAACACCGACUGGAACAUGCUCAUUCCCAGGGUGUCAUGAGCCUUGUCUUUUCACGAGAUGGAAGUCGGUUGUUAAGUACAGCAUUUGACAGCACAGCAAGGUUUGAACUCUUAGAGAUGGCUUUUGAAUUGAGCUAUAGUAUCCCCUUAAUCUCAUGCCCUCCACCACCCAAGGAAAAAAAAAAUCAGAAAAGGAUAAGAAGGAUUGUAGAUUCUUGAAAAGGUUCUCAUGAUCCUUACUUUUCUUAUAUUAUACAGAAUUCACGGAUUAAGUCAGGCAAGAUGUUGAAGGAAUUUCAUGGCCAUAUAUCUUAUGUUAACGAUGCCAUCUUUACAAGUGAUGGCUCUCUCGUCAUCUUUGUAUCAAGUGAUUGCACAAUGAAAGUAAGUUAACCUAGCUAUCUAUUAUUAAUUGAGGCCAAAUUUUUCAAGUUUGCUAAUCAUCUACAUGCUGAAUAAAACGAAUGGCAUCUAUAGGUUUAGGAUGUGAAAACUACAGACUGUCUGCAGACCUUUAAGCUGCUACCUCUAGGGAUGGCAAUUUGAACCGUUAAAAUCGAAAAUCGCGGUUAAACGAACCGAAUGGGGUAAAAAAAACCAAACUGAUGGUGCAAUGGGGCGGAUAUGGUAUUUGAUUUUAAGAAACUGGUUCGUGGCAGUGCGAAUAUGGUAUUUAUGCCGUCGAACCGAAAUCGAAUCGAUUAUCCGCUUAAAAAAUCAUUCUUUUAUUAGGUAUGGCAAGGUUUAGUGAGGAGGAAGUUGACAAAAAG